rnacentral:lncRNA from 1 species
UCUGGCUGUAGAAGGUAGUAUAGAGAUUCGCUAAUAUUCAAGCAAUCUAUCAGUUUUUGACUUUUGGAAUAUAGACGAUUGUAAGAAUAUACCGUAAAUCUAUACGGAUGUCCUUUGACUGCUCGCCGAAAUCCUUUUUGUCCCAGCUAGUAGGUCUCUAGACGUUAUAGAGAACCCCGAAUAACCCAAUCUGCUAAUCUCCGAUACCGCUUUAUACUCACAACCUUGUAUCCACUGACUGUCUUGUUAGAUUAACCCAAAAAUUUUUAUUCACUCCGCAUACUCAAUCCUAU